rnacentral:misc_RNA from 1 species
ACAAUGCACGCCUCCACUCUUAUCCCGCUCUCUCUGACGUCUUUUUUGUUCCCCUUUUCUCUCGUGCUUCUUGUCAUUGUAGGGGUGCGGCUGGCAGCUUACCUUGUGCAGUGACAAGAGUGCAUGGCACGACUGUUCGGGAUUGCACAGACCCAGCGGAGCAGCAGAGCGGGGGUAGGGCACAGUGGGGAUGGCUGGAAACGGAGGGAGAAGCGUGCGCUCUUCUUGCAUCUCUUUGCCCUCGACGAGUUGUCGGAGAAGCGAAUCCUCUCCGCUUCUCCGGCGCUUUUCUUCAUACAACCAACGUCGUCCUUUUCCGUUGUCUGUCCUCGCCUUUUUUUUGCCUGCAAAGCAUCCCGGGCCACGGUGCGGGGAGGAAGAGGGAGAGACAAGCCUUGCUUUUUUUUUCUUCUCCAUAACCUCUUUAAAUGCAGGCCUACGUGUACGCGCGUGUAUCUGUGUAUGUGUCGCGCGCCCCGCUAAGGGGGCGGGGAGGGGAGGUGUGCUUCCUUCCCUACGUUGUUCUCCCCUCCCUCCACCUAUCCCUGCCUAAUGCCGAACCUCACUUCCGGGGAUGCCGGGGGCCCGGCACCCACGACGUAAGGGGAGGAGGGAGGCCCGGGCGAUGCAUCGCUACAGAUGCCGGCGCCCAGGUCCUGGAUGGCGCUGCGUCGGGGCACCCCCCCCCCCUGCGACAGCGAGCACGCUUGUGCCUAAUCCAUAUGAUUAGGCAGAGCGUCAGCGCGGCUCGGGCGUGUGUCCCACCACCCACCCCCCGGCCCUCGCGCACUGCCUGCUGGUGUGCAGGGAGCCUGCGCCACGCCGAGGAGGAUGCACCGCGUGGCGGCCGGCACGAUGGGCGCGGGUCGGGGGUGGGUGGGUUGGGCCGCGUCUGAGGCAGGGGUCGUGCUGCGAUGACUGGGUCGGCGCAUUGCUGUGACGCGCGUGUCUAGCGCUGCUGCACACCACGCGAGGCGGGCCUGUGACGGGGCGCGUGCGGGCUCGAGUUGGGUUUGGACUCCUGCUGUACGGCAGAGGGGGGGGGGCGGACUCACCAGCAAAAAAUGAUUGGACAUGCUGUCUGCUUUCGGUGUUGAUUCACUGCCACUCGCUCUCUGCGGACGGGAUUGAAUAAAGUCGCGUACUGCAGGAGACACGCCGGUGUCUGCGUGGAUGCUUUGCGAGUGACGUGUGCUGGAGUGGAAUCUUUCCAGCCCCGCCAUCGCACGCGCUGCGAGCCGCGUGCCACACAAGCACCGGCGAUUUUAGUUUGUUUUCCUUCUAACCUUCUUGUUACUCUUCUCUCUUACAUGAUUUCGUGUUUCCUCUUCUUGUGUGCUUGCACAUGUAUUGUGUGCGUUUUUUUUUCGUGCAGACUGCCUGUAGAUCGAAAGUUUGCCUAUGUACGUUGUUGCUAGCCGUUGCGCUUACGUGCGCACACGUAAGCGAGGGACUGAAAAGGAGAAAAUGAGAGGACGGCAAGCCGAGUCCUCCCCCCACGUGUCUUGCCGCUACCCAAUGCGUAUGUGUCGUGCGUAUGAGUGCUUGUGCAGUUUGUUGCUCAUGCGGUCCCUCUCUCUCUCUCGGCCUUUCUCCUACAUAUUCAGUCAAACAGGCUCUUCGUAAAGAGAAAGAGCCGGACGAAGAGGAGGUGUCGAUGGCGAAUAAACAAGAGGCAGGAAGGCGGAUCGCGGUUCGGCGUCUUGCCCGUGUCGUCAUCACUCGUUGUUCUUUCCUCCUUUGUGUACUUCGUCUUCGUUGGCCCUAUAUUCCUCGUUUCUGCUUUCGUCGCUCCCGCUGUACAUGCGUACGUUAUCAUCGUCGUGUCUGUGUGUGCGCUGUGCGUGUGCGCGUUACUGUGCUAAAAUACACCAUGAGAGGAACACAAAAAAAAACGAAAGGCGAAUCAGACACCCCUUCGCCUCUACACUCUUGUGUAGCUGAUGUCGUGUAAUAUAUAUAUAUAUAUGUGUGUGUGUGUGGAAUUUUCACUAGAUGCUCCCAUGAUGGUGCGCGUGUGCGAGUGCGUGCAGAGGUAUGCGCAUAGGUGCGCGUGAAGGUGUUUCGAGGCACGCGUAGGAAACCCCCAUCACCCCCCCUUCCUCAAAAAAAAAAGGAAAAAUACGAGAUGCUUAUGAUAUUUAUUGUGCCAUAGCAUCUUUCUCUGCCUAUGAGUGCCUGCGCGUGCGUGCGUGCGUGUGUGUGUGUGUGUCUUUUCGAAAGGUAACUGUGGCUAAUCCACCCCCUCUCUGUCUCUCCCUCCCUCCCUCUCUCCACAUCUCUUUUCUUUGCUUAUCGGAGUCGUGUGCGGUGCAGUGUGCGCGUCGCUCUCUUGGUCGUUUUGUGCGUUGUGGUGGUGGUGUUUUUUGGUGUACUCACUCUCUUCGCUGCAGUCUUCUCGCUUGCGGAAGAGGGUUGGGGGCUUUGUGGGCUUCUUAACACGUCUCUCUCCCUUUCCUCUUUCUGAGCCUCUCAGCCUACCCCCACCCCCUCCUCCUUCCCGCGCUGGCUUUGGCGAGGGCCGUCUUGCUGUUUUGUGUGGCAUGCACGUCGAAUUGUGUCGGCAUGAAUGACGGGCCUGCGGAUGCAUGGGUCGAUGGGUGGCCCAUGCACGUGAGCGUGUGUGCGUGCAGGGUUUCCCGAAUGUUUUCUUGGUUCCCUCUUUUGAAUGUUGUUCGUCCUCACAAGAGGUGCUGGCCAACUUCAUGUGUUCUUUGUUUUUUUUUUCCCCGUCUGUGUUUCACCUGCAUACAAUGCAGCGACGACAUCAUGGAGAGAGACGAAAGCCGAACGUCGCAUCUGUUUUGGCCAAACCCCAGCAACGAAAUGACAGCGGGAUUCAGGCAUUGCCGUGAGGGCACCGUCUC